rnacentral:misc_RNA from 1 species
GAAAUGCGAUAAGUAAUGUGAAUUGCAGAAUUCAGUGAAUCAUCGAAUCUUUGAACGCACAUUGCGCCCAUUAGUAUUCUAGUGGGCAUGCCUGUUCGAGCGUCAUUUCAACCCUCAAGCCCUAGUUGCUUGGUGUUGGGAGCUUGCUAUUCGCAACUCCUUAAAGCUAUUGGCGGAGUCGUGUUGGCCCCAAGCGUAGUAAUUUUUCUCGCUUCAGGUGUCCCAGCGCUGGCGUCCAGCCGUAAAACCCCUAAUUUUCUAGUGGUUGACCUCGGAUCAGGUAGGAAUACCCGCUGAACUUAA